AUUGAACGCUGGCGGCAGGCCUAACACAUGCAAGUCGAACGGUAACAGGGUGCUUGCACCGCCGACGAGUGGCGAACGGGUGAGUAAUGCGUCGGAACGUGCCGAGUAGUGGGGGAUAACGCAGCGAAAGUUGUGCUAAUACCGCAUACGUACUGAGGUAGAAAGUGGGGGACCUUCGGGCCUCACGCUAUUCAAGCGGCCGACGUCUGAUUAGCUAGUAGGUGAGGUAAAGGCUCACCUAGGCGACGAUCAGUAGCGGGUCUGAGAGGAUGAGCCGCCACACUGGGACUGAGACACGGCCCAGACUCCUACGGGAGGCAGCAGUGGGGAAUUUUGGACAAUGGGCGAAAGCCUGAUCCAGCCAUGCCGCGUGUCUGAAGAAGGCCUUCGGGUUGUAAAGGACUUUUGUCGGGGAGGAAAUCCCCAGCGUUAAUACCGCUGGGGGAUGACAGUACCUGAAGAAUAAGCACCGGCUAACUACGUGCCAGCAGCCGCAGUAACAC
rnacentral:rRNA from 1 species